rnacentral:rRNA from 1 species
AGCACGGGAGCAAUCCUGGUGGCGAGUGGCGAACGGGUGAGUAAUGUAUCGGAACGUACCUUUCAGUGGGGGAUAACGUAGCGAAAGUUACGCUAAUACCGCAUAUUCUGUGAGCAGGAAAGCAGGGGAUCGCAAGACCUUGCGCUGAUUGAGCGGCCGAUAUCAGAUUAGCUAGUUGGUGAGGUAAAGGCUCACCAAGGCGACGAUCUGUAGCGGGUCUGAGAGGAUGAUCCGCCACACUGGAACUGAGACACGGUCCAGACUCCUACGGGAGGCAGCAGUGGGGAAUUUUGGACAAUGGGGGCAACCCUGAUCCAGCCAUGCCGCGUGAGUGAAGAAGGCCUUCGGGUUGUAAAGCUCUUUCAGCCGGGAAGAAAUCACAUGGGUUAAUACCCUGUGUGGAUGACGGUACCGGAAUAAGAAGCACCGGCUAACUACGUGCCAGCAGCCGCGGUAAUACGUAGGGUGCGAGCGUUAAUCGGAAUUACUGGGCGUAAAGCGUGCGCAGGCGGUUUGUUAAGAUAGGCGUGAAAUCCCCGGGCUCAACCUGGGAACUGCGUUUAUGACUGGCAGGCUAGAGUAUGGCAGAGGGGGGUGGAAUUCCACGUGUAGCAGUGAAAUGCGUAGAGAUGUGGAGGAACACCGAUGGCGAAGGCAGCCCCCUGGGCCAAUACUGACGCUCAUGCACGAAAGCGUGGGUAGCAAACAGGAUUAGAUACCCUGGUAGUCCACGCCCUAAACGAUGUCAACUAGGUGUUGGGUGGGUAAAACCAUUUAGUACCGGAGCUAACGCGUGAAGUUGACCGCCUGGGGAG